rnacentral:rRNA from 1 species
UACGGAGGGGGCUAGCGUUGUUCGGAAUUACUGGGCGUAAAGCGCGCGUAGGCGGCUUUGUAAGUUAGAGGUGAAAGCCCGGAGCUCAACUCCGGAAUUGCCUUUAAGACUGCAUCGCUAGAAUCAUGGAGAGGUUAGUGGAAUUCCGAGUGUAGAGGUGAAAUUCGUAGAUAUUCGGAAGAACACCAGUGGCGAAGGCGGCUCACUGGACCGGUAUUGACGCUGAGGUGCGAAAGCGUGGGGAGCAAACAGG